AAUCUCUUGGCAUUGUGGAGGCCAGAAUACUGACUGUCUCGCUCUUCUUUUGGUUUUCCUCAUUCCUUGAUGCGACAAAUGUAAUUUAGCAAGGAUGUCUUUUUGGCACGCUUUAGGGACGACAAUUCCUGUUCCUUUCAAUACCAAACCGUCCUCAACAGCUAAGUCUUUGAUCAUGUUCUUAAAUAAUCUUAGGUAAUGCUUUUCUACUCAUCCUUUUUCAUUCAGACCACAUUCCACGAAUUGUACGAGUACUCGAUAGUCUCAUCCGUUUUUCCUAUAUUUCGUAUCUCUUCAAUGAUUGGAUCUACGAAACCAAUAUUUCGGAUUUUAUUCUGAUCAUCUACUCGAGCUCGUGACAAAGCAUCUGCAAUAAUAUGGUCUUUUCCUGUCUUCCAUGAUACUUUGAACUCGUAAUGUUGAAGGCACAUUCUAAUCUUCUCUACUUUGGCGUUUUCCAUUUGGUUUAAAGAAUAGUUAUUGAAUAUAGUGGAGAGAGAAGGAUGAUCGGUUAUUACUUCGAAGUGCAGUAGUCCACUAAGUGAUAAAUCUCGAACCACAUUCAAUUAGUUUCCAUCUUUCUCCAUGCUGUUGUAUUAAAUUGAAUCCAAGACCUUUGGUUCUUGAUGCGUCUGUCUCUAAACGUGUUUCUCUCAACGGAUCAAAAAGUGCUAGGAUUGGUGGCUUAAGUAAAAUAUCUUUAAUAUUGUCCAUCGCAUGUGAGUGAACUAACUCCCAUUUGAAUUCAUACUUUGUCUUCAACAAGUCUCUCAAUUGUUUGGCCAGUUUGCUCAAUUUUGAGGUAAAAGAUGUUAAUUGAUUAGCCAUACCCAUAACUGAUCUAUAUUCUGUUCUGUUUGUAGGAGUGGGAAAUUUGCGAAUAUCAUUCAAUUUAUCUUCGUUGACGUCAAUUCCAUUCUUAUUGUUUUUUGUAACAGAAUAAAUCAAUUUCUUCUUUCGCGAAUUGAAAAUUCUUUAGACUUAAUGUGAUUCCAAAUUCCUUGCAUCUGUUUAGAACUCUUCUUACUUUCUUAAUAUGAUUAUCAAGAUCUUUGUCAUCAACGAUGAUAUCAUCGAUUACUUUAUGAACAGCUGGGAUGCCUUCUAAUGCUAUGUCAUUUCGACUAUUAUUUGCGUCUCCCGUAGAAAUAAAUCCUAUAAGAGCUCUCUUAAAGGACAUCUGCCAAUAACCAUGUACUGUGUCAAAUUUUGU
rnacentral:lncRNA from 1 species